rnacentral:snRNA from 1 species
GUGCUUGCUUCGGCAGCACAAUACUAAAAUUGGAACAAUACAGAAAAGAUUUGCAUGCCCCACGCAGGAGG